CCUACGGGUGGCAGCAGUAGGGAAUCUUUCACAAUGGGCGAAAGCCUGCUGGAGCAACGCCGCUUGCCGGAUGAAGGCCUUCGGGUUGUAAACUGCUUUUAUAAGCGAGAAAUAUGAUGGUAACUUAUGAAUAAGGAUCGGCUAACUACGUGCCAGCAGCCGCGGUCAUACGUAGGAUCCGAGAAUUAUCCGGAGUGACUGGGUGUAAAGAGUUGCGUAGGUGGCAUAAUAAGUAGCUAGUGAAAUCUGGUGGCUCAACCAUUCAGAUUAUUAGCUAAACUGUUAAGCUCGAGACCGUUAGGGGUAAGUGGAAUUUCUAGUGUAGGAGUGAAAUCCGUAGAUAUUAGAAGGAACACCAAUAGCGUAGGCAGGUUGCUGGGACGGUUCUGACACUAAGGCACGAAAGCGUAGGGAGCAAACGGGAUUAGAUACCCGAGUAGUC
rnacentral:rRNA from 1 species